UCAAACUCAGGGCCUCAUGCUUGCCAAGUACGUGCUGUACUGCUGGAUUACAAUAGAGCUACAUCCCUGACUGUUGGAAACACACUGAAGCCGACAGAGUAUUUGUAUUGAAGUAAGAAGAAAGAUCUGGAUAGUAGAAAUUGAGGAUCUUGGUGUUUACCCAUGGGGACUCUUUCUAACCUUCUGUUAAAGAAGAAAGCUUCAGUAGGCACUUGACUAGAGUAAGAGGAACAGACACCACCAUUUCAAACAACUCUUACACAUGGCUUGGUUACGCCUGCACCACUAUUCUAUCUGUGCUGUCAUGGUCAAAGCCACCCAGCUGUGGCCAGCUUUUCCAGGGCUUCUGUGAUGCUGGCACCUACUCCCCAAGGAAUAGCUAAAUUUCCCAGUGGCACCUUUUGUCCAAAGGAGGAAAGCCUUAGUGUGUGGAGUGCUUUGGUCUGCAGACACUACAGGCUGCCAAGUCAUCGUGAGGAAUUUCAAUCUCCUGUUUGCUGAGCUAUGUUGGGAUUGUGGCUUAUUUACAGAAGUUCUUUGUUUAAGUCAUCCUUGAUCAAGAUGUUUGUUCUGGGAUGGCGACAUUGCUUUUAUGGUUGCUCCCUGCCUGAAGUUUGUUCCCCUGAUAGUGAUCGGAAUGUGCUAUAGUCGUGAUCUUAUAACUUCUUGUUUCUGUCGAGUUAAUAUAGUUAGCAGGAUAUAUAAAGGAAGGUUUUUUAUAAGAUCUUUAGACCUUCUCCCAAGAUAAUAAAAAAGCUUCAGAAGGAUCCUGAGUGUUGCGUGCUUUCUUGCUGGCAAGCGGCUCGCGACAACUGGUGCCGAAACCCGGGACGCUGGGAAUAAUCUCAAGACAACAGAUCCAGACAUCGGAGAAGGUCCCUGUGCUGAACAGGAGGAUUCAAAACUGA